rnacentral:rRNA from 1 species
GACAGAGGUGCCGAGCGUUAGGCGGAAUCACUGGGCUUAAAGCGUGUGUAGGCGGAUGCCUAAGUACCUUGUGAAAUCCCACGGCUUAACCGUGGAACUGCUUGGUAUACUGGGUGUCUUGAGCCACUUAGGGGCGACCGGAACAAACGGUGGAGCGGUGAAAUGCGUAGAUAUCGGGAGGAACACCAGUGGCGAAGGCGGCUACCUGGACCGGUUCUGACGCUGAGGCGCGAAAGCGUGGGUAGCAAACAGG